rnacentral:rRNA from 1 species
AUUGAACGCUGGCGGCAGGCUUAACACAUGCAAGUCGAGCGGCGAGAGGUAGCUUGCUACUGAUCUUAGCGGCGGACGGGUGAGUAAUGCUUAGGAAUCUGCCUAUUAGUGGGGGACAACAUUUCGAAAGGAAUGCUAAUACCGCAUACGUCCUACGGGAGAAAGGAGGGGAUCUUCGGACCUUGCGCUAAUAGAUGAGCCUAAGUCGGAUUAGCUAGUUGGUGGGGUAAAGGCCUACCAAGGCGACGAUCUGUAGCGGGUCUGAGAGGAUGAGCCGCCACACUGGGACUGGGACACGGCCCAGACUCCUACGGGAGGCAGCAGUGGGGAAUAUUGGACAAUGGGCGGAAGCCUGAUCCAGCCAUGCCGCGUGUGUGAAGAAGGCCUUAUGGUUGUAAAGCACUUUAAGCGAGGAGGAGGCUACUUUAGUUAAUACCUAGAGAUAGUGGACGGUACUCGCAGAAUAAGCACCGGCUAACUCUGUGCCAGCAGCCGCGGUAACAC